UACGUAGGGUGCGAGCGUUGUCCGGAAUUACUGGGCGUAAAGAGCUCGUAGGUGGUUUGUCGCGUUGUUCGUGAAAUCUCACGGCUUAACUGUGAGCGUGCGGGCGAUACGGGCAGACUGGAGUACUGCAGGGGAGACUGGAAUUCCUGGCGUAGCGGUGGAAUGCGCAGAUAUCAGGAGGAACACCGGUGGCGAAGGCGGUUCUCUGGGCCUGACCUGACGCUGAGGAGCGAAAGCGUGGGGAGCGAACAGG
rnacentral:rRNA from 1 species